GGGUGGUAACGCGUGAGAAUCUAGCUUCAGGUCUGGGACAACCACUGGAAACGGUGGCUAAUACCGGAUGUGCCGGAAGGUGAAAGGCUUGCUGCCUGAAGAUGAGCUCGCGUCCGAUUAGCUAGUAGGUGGGGUAAGAGCCUACCUAGGCGACGAUCGGUAGCUGGUCUGAGAGGAUGACCAGCCACACUGGGACUGAGACACGGCCCAGACUCCUACGGGAGGCAGCAGUGGGGAAUUUUCCGCAAUGGGCGAAAGCCUGACGGAGCAAUACCGCGUGAGGGAGGAAGGCUCUUGGGUUGUAAACCUCUUUUCUCAGGGAAGAACACAAUGACGGUACCUGAGGAAUCAGCAUCGGCUAACUCCGUGCCAGCAGCCGCGGUAAUACGGAGGAUGCAAGCGUAUCCGGAAUGAUUGGGCGUAAAGCGUCCGCAGGUGGCUGUGUAAGUCUGCUGUCAAAGAGCAAAGCUCAACUUUGUAAAGGCAGUGGAAACUACACGGCUAGAGUGCGUUCGGGGCAGAGGGAAUUCCUGGUGUAGCGGUGAAAUGCGUAGAGAUCAGGAAGAACACCGGUGGCGAAGGCGCUCUGCUAGGCCGCAACUGACACU
rnacentral:rRNA from 1 species